GAAGUUAGAAAAUGUUCUCGAUAUUUGGUUUCCAAGUCCAGAGUCCCUCACUGGAGUCUGCUGGUGUUUGGCCAUGGAUGUUUCACGGGAUCACAAUUUUCUCCCUCCCAGGCAGAAAUCACUCAGCCAGAUAAAACAAGCAAAAGAUACCGGUUGUGCUGAUUCACAAGGAAACAAUUUCCCUUCUAUUUCAGCAGCUUACCAGCAGGAAACUGCAGGGCAGUUUGCCAUGACCAUAGAAAAUGGGACAUGUUGCACGUUAUCCAAGACUUCCUGGGUGCCCAUUAAGUCCUUCAUGGCCUGAAGUCUAGGCUGUGUGCCCCAGGGAUGCUGCAGGGCUCCAUGCCCACAGGGCACUGGGGGGCUUCACGCACCCUGGGACUGAUCCAGAGCCCCGUGAAGCACACAGAGAUCUUCACUGAGCCUCCAGUUGGCCUUCACAGCACUGCCCUGUCAGAAAGGUGCCGUAGGCACUGAGUUUCUUCACCUGCUGUCCUGGGAAUUAAUCCGUGGAGAUCAGACUUCCAUCCUCUGCAUCAGAGGAACUGGUGAACAGCCCGUAUCCAAAGAGAGGUGACAAUUUCACUGCAUGCACUGAGCAUCCUACCUGCUUUAUUCCACCCUCUUACAAUGAGAGGAUGAAGCUUGUGAACCAUGAGGGCUGCUACAAAAGAAAUGCCUCCUAUGUUAUGUCGGCUCACCAGGUCAGAGGUGGACAUUGGUGAGGUGGCAGCAAAAGCUGAACCUUUCCACCGAUAUUCCAUCACAUUUUGUUGCUGUGUGACUGAUGGCAGCAGAGGGAUGGUCUGACAAAACGGCAUUUGACAUAGAAGUACGUAUGGAGCAAAGGAAUGGCACUGAAUUUUUCUGUGCAGAAAAUGCAGCACCCAUUGCCAUUCAUCUUGCUGAGCAUUUAUGGAGACCAAACAGUGGGUGUGAGCACAGUGAGGA
ensembl:lncRNA